AGUAACAAGUAGCAACAAAGUAACAGCAGUAGCAACAGAGUAACAGUAGUAGCAGCGACAGCAGUAGCGGCAAAGUAACAUAGCAAGGACCAGUAGUACAAGACUCGUAGGCAUUAGAUCUGUGAUGGAUGAUUAUGCCGGAUGUGAUUCAUCAUAUAACAGCUAUAAUAUGGAGAGAUAAGUAACUAGCUCCCGUUCGUCAAUCUAAUGUAGACAUGUAUUCCGUAUGUAGUCAUACGUGCUUAGGGAAAAGAACUUGCAUGACAUAUAUUGUCCAUCCCUCCCAUGGCAGCGGGGUCCUAAUGGAAACUACGGGAUAUUAAGGUUCUCCUUUUAAUAAAGAACCGACCAACGCAUUAACACUUGGUGAAUACAUGAACUCCUCAUACUAUGGUCAUCUCCGGGAGUGGUUCCAGCUAUUGUCACUCCGGGGUUGCCGGGUCAUAACACAUAGUAGGUGACUACAACUUGCAAGAUAGGAUCUAAAACACACAUAUAUUGGCGACAACAUAAUAGGUUCAGAUCUGAAAUCAUGGCACUCGGGCCCUAUUGACAAGCAUUAAGCAUGGCAAAGUAGUAGCAACAUCAAUCUCACAACAUAGUGGAUACUAGGGAUCAAUCCCUGUUAAAACUAACUCGAUUACAUGAUAGAUCUCAUCCAACUCAUCACCUUCCAGCAAGCAUAUGAUGAGAUUACUCACGAACGGUGAAGAGCAUCAUGGAAUUGGCGAUGAAGGAAAGUUGAUGAUGAGGAUGGCGACGAUUUCCCCUCUCCGGAGCCCAGAACGGACUCCAGAUCUG
rnacentral:lncRNA from 1 species